AUUGAACGCUGGCGGCAGGCCUAACACAUGCAAGUCGAACGAGUGGCGGACGGGUGAGUAAUGUCUGGGAAACUGCCUGAUGGAGGGGGAUAACUCCUGGAAACGGUAGCUAAUACCGCAUACCAUCGGAUGUGCCCAGAUGGGAUUAGCUAGUAGGUGGGGUAAAGGCUCACCUAGGCGACGAUCCCUAGCUGGUCUGAGAGGAUGAACAGCCAAACUGGAACUGAGACACGGUCCGGACGCCUACGGGAGGCAGCAGUGGUGAAUAUUGCACAAUGGGCUCAAGCCUGAUGCAGCCAGGCCGCGUGUAUGAAGAAGGCCUUCGGGUUGUAAAGUACUUUCAGCGAGGAGGCGUUACUCGCAGAAGAAGCACCGGCUAACUCCGUGCCAGCAGCCGCGGUAAUAC
rnacentral:rRNA from 1 species